CCUACGGGAGGCAGCAGUGGGGAAUCUUGCGCAAUGGGCGAAAGCCUGACGCAGCGACGCCGCGUGCGGGAAGAAGGCCUUCGGGUUGUAAACCGCUUUCAGGAGGGACGAAGCCACUCGGGUGAAUAGCCUAGAGGGUGACGGUACCUCCAGAAGAAGCCCCGGCUAACUACGUGCCAGCAGCCGCGGUAAU
rnacentral:rRNA from 1 species